rnacentral:misc_RNA from 1 species
UUUGGUUUGUUACGUGUGGUUGGCUGCGGCGUUUGCAACAACUUCCAUGCUUUCAGACCUCUUCAGUUGUGCGGCAAGGCUUGUAUCGCCUUGAGCGUNUUGUGGGUUUUCUGUGUUGAAUACCUAAUCAAUGGUAUCGGUUGGAUUUGAUCAAUGUUACAUUUCGUCUGUCGUCGCAUUCGCGGCGUGAGAUGAACCUUGAUGCGGUCUCUUUGAUCCACUUCGUCGAAGCACAUGCUUUGACGUUGUGGCACAUUGAGCAUUGCUUGGUCUCUUGUAUACGGAACAUAUAGUGGGCAUGGAUCUAACGAUUCUUGUUUGCCCUCAUGUUAGCGUAACGCUUCUCUUACACGACUUGCUCCACGUUUUAG